rnacentral:rRNA from 1 species
UUGGAGGGCAAGUCUGGUGCCAGCAGCCGCGGUAAUUCCAGCUCCAAUAGCGUAUAUUAAAGUUGUUGCAGUUAGAAAGCUCGUAGUUGAAUUUCGAGACCGGCUUACUGGUCGUGCUAUUGUACGUACUGGUAUAAUCGGUUUCUCCUUUCUGACGAACUAUAAUGCCAUUAAUUUGGUGUUAUAGGGAAUCAGGACUGUUACUUUGAAAAAAUUAGAGUGUUUAAAGCAGGCUCACGCUUGAAUACAUUAGCAUGGAAUAACGGAAUAGGACGUUUGAUUCUAUUUUGUUGGUUUCUAGGAUCGACGUAAUGAUUAAUAGGGAUAGUUGGGGGCAUUAGUAUUCAAUUGUCAGAGGUGAAAUUCUUGGAUUUAUUGAAGACUAACUACUGCGAAAGCAUUUGCCAAGGAUGUUUUCAUUAAUCAAGAACGAAAGUUAGGGGAUCGAAGACGAUCAGAUACCGUCGUAGUCUUAACCAUAAACUAUGCCGACUAGGGAUCGGAUGAUGUUAAUUUUUUAAUGACUCAUUCGGCGCCUUACGGGAAAC